AGGGGUUAGGUCAGAAUCAAUGAUUACUGGUAGAAUUUUCUCAGAUCCUAAAAACACGUAAUUAAGUGAUUCAGACAAAAGUUUCAAUUCAAAUUGUGGUGGGGCCUGAAUUGAAGAAUGUAGUGUUUCAGUUUCUAGCUUAGAUAAGGGCUCAAUUCUAAUUGACCAAGGUAGUGAAUGUGCUAGGUGAGGUGAAUCAAGUAAGGCAUUCACCU
rnacentral:lncRNA from 1 species